rnacentral:rRNA from 1 species
GAGGGUGCAAGCGUUGUCCGGAAUCAUUGGGCGUAAAGAGUUCGUAGGUGGUUUGUUAAGUUUGGUGUUAAAUGCAGAUGCUCAACAUCUGUUCGGCAUCGGAUACUGGCAGACUAGAAUGCGGUAGAGGUAAAGGGAAUUCCUGGUGUAGCAGUGAAAUGCGUAGAUAUCAAGAGGAACAUCGGUGGCGUAAGCGCUUUACUGGGCCGUAAUUGACACUGAGGAACGAAAGCCAGAGUAGCA